rnacentral:lncRNA from 1 species
UCACAUUAAUCACUGAAAUGGAAAAUCGAAAGUUGGUAAAAUUUAUAAAAACAACUAAUAAAACCAUUUGAUUUCUUUAAAUAAAUUCAUUUAACAUAAAAUCUCUAUUCUAUACUUACCGUUACGAGUUUUUAAAAUCAACUUAUAAGGACAAUAGCUCAAAUAACAUUAUGAUUUUAUAUACAAAUGAGUAAGAACAACAACUUUCCUUUUUACCUGCUUACUGGUACCUCUAAGGGUACAUAGGGAUGUCCCCUUACGCGUGAACCCUAUAUCGAAUUUUUUAAAUUAACCGGCCGUCCCCAUACCCUGUCCGCUAAUGGGCGCUAAACAUACCAUCGCCUCGAUAACCCAUCCGGUAUGAGAGUGAACUAUAUCUCCCAAACUCUUCUGGUAUGGGACUUCUCAGCCCUGUUUGACUGAAGUAACGUUCACGGUAGGGUUUUUCCUAUAUAUCGAGUCCGUCUACCUUUUUCCAAGAUACUUAGUAAGUCUUUCAUACAUAAAUUCACACCAUUCAUCAAUUAGCAGUUACACAUCAAUAUCUAAUAUUUACAAAUCAACAGUAAGUCAUGUAAAUAGGCAAUAUGUACAUUAAGAAAACACGAUUGAGACAUUUAUUGUAAAUAAAUAAACAGAUGAGGGUUAUGCAGUUAGGUGAACUAACUAACUGAGAAAUAAAUUAAAACUAGUAAUUUAAUGCACACAACGUAAAAAUAAACAUUUUAAACAGUACAAGGAAAAAUAAAUAGUAAACUAGUGCAAAUAUGAACUGACUGGUUCUGCCUCCACUAAUUACUUGCAAUUAUUUUUAGGAUUUUUAAUUUUCAUAAAACAUAACAUUAUCAAUUAUUAAGCUUCAAUUUAUCGUAAUAGAAAAAUGGUGAAAGAUUCUUACCCUGAAUCGGUGUCCGAAGCACUGUACUUUUCAUUGCGACUUCUAGCGGUCCCUAAGUUUCCUGAAUUUUUCUUAUAAAAAUUAAAACACUCAUCACGUAUCCAAAAAUAUAUCAAAAAGCAAAAAUAAGCGUUUUAAAACAUUUAUGCCCGAUUUUAGAAUUCCGGCAAGGUGGCGCUGCCG